CAAAACUCUCCACAUUCUAUCUGGGCAGCUGGGUGGCACAAUGGAUAGAGUGUCACACCUCAAGUCAGAAUGACCCAAGUUUAAAUCUGACCCCAGACAUUUUCUAGCUCUUGGACUCUGGGAUAUUAGUAAGGAUGCAAUAAUCAUCACUUCCAAUGGGCUCUGAGGAAGAGACAUCAGUGGCUUCAGAGAACCAUGUAAACUUAGCAUGGGCAUCUGUGAUUGCCCAUUCUACAGAGACUGACCUGGUAACGAAAAAUGACUCUGAUUGCAUCCAGAUAAAAAUAACUUCUGAAGACAGUCACAGGAUGUUAGAUGUGACCUUCACCUAAUGUUGGUUUGCUCCCACACUUGCUUCUUUAUACGGUUUUGACCACAUCCUAAAGCAAAACAUUGCACGUUAAUAGCUCAGAACUCAAUUGUGGGUUUGGAAUUAUAGCAAUACUCACAAUAAAAAGUUCACACUGA